rnacentral:misc_RNA from 1 species
GAUGAAGAACGUAGCGAAAUGCGAUAAGUAGUGUGAAUUGCAGAAUUCAGUGAAUCAUCGAAUCUUUGAACGCACAUUGCGCCCCUUGGUAUUCCAUGGGGCAUGCCUGUUCGAGCGUCAUUUGUACCCUCAAGCUUUGCUUGGUGUUGGGCGUCUUGUCGUAUUACGACUCGCCUUAAAUACAUUGGCAGCCGGCACUUUGGCCUAGGAGCGCAGCACAUUUUGCGAUCGUAGCCCGUUGUACUGGCGUCCAUCAAGAACAUUUACCACGUUUGACCUCGGAUCAGGUAGGGAUACCCGCUGAACUUAAGCAUAUCAAUAAGCGGAGGG